ACCAGCGUGAUGUAGUGGUUUGAGCGUUGGACUAUGACUCCAGAGGCCAAGGUUCGAAUCCUGUCUGGGUC